rnacentral:rRNA from 1 species
CGCAUCUGUGCAUGCAGCAUAUCAAUAAGCGGAGGAAAAGAAACUAACAAGGAUUCCCCUAGUAACGGCGAGUGAAGCGGGAAGAGCUCAAAUUUGAAAUCUUAAAGGGUUUCCCUUUACGAAUUGUAGUUUAAAGAAGUGUUUUCUGUUGAGGUUUUGGUAAAAGUUCUUUGGAAUAGGACAUCAUAGAGGGUGAGAAUCCCGUAUUUGACCUUUACUUUCAACUUUGUGAUACACUUUCAAGGAGUCGGGAUUGUUUGGGAAUGCAGUCCAAAAUGGGUGGUAAAUUUCAUCUAAAGCUAAAUAUUGGCGAGAGACCGAUAGCGAACAAGUACCGUGAGGGAAAGAUGAAAAGAACUUUGAAAAGAGAGUUAAACAGUACGUGAAAUUGUCAAAGGGAAGCGUUUGACACCAGUGUUGUUUUUCUGAAAAUCAAUUAAAGAACUGUUUAUGCUAAGCUGUUUAGACUUUAUCAGCUAAUCUGUUUAGUUUUGAGCUUUUCUUUAAUGCACUUUUCAGUUAACAAGUCAACAUCAAUUUCUUUUGCUGUAAAAAAGCUUGAGGAAGGUGGCUUGAGAUUCGUCUUAAGUGUUUAUAGCCUCUUGCCUAUGCAGUCGGAGAGAUUGAGGUCUGCAGCGUAGAUCCUUCGGGGCUAAAUGCAUUUGUGCUAAGUUAUAGCAUUUUAUAGACAACUUGUUGACUAUGAUUUGUCUUGUAGCUUACUCGCUUAUGUUAUUUUACCUACGCUUAGGAUGUUGACAGCAGUAUAGACUGU